CUUGUGGACUGUCACAUCAAAUGAGAGUAGACUUUUCAGUAAUCUAGUCAAAAUCAGGCAGGAAGAAGCAAGAA
rnacentral:sRNA from 12 species